rnacentral:rRNA from 1 species
CGGAGGAAAAGAAACCAACAGGGAUUGCCUCAGUAACGGCGAGUGAAGCGGCAAGAGCUCAAAUUUGAAAGCUGGCCCCUUCGGGGUCCGCGUUGUAAUUUGCAGAGGAUGCUUCGGGUGCAGCCCCCGUCUAAGUGCCCUGGAACGGGCCGUCAUAGAGGGUGAGAAUCCCGUCUGGGACGGGGUGUCUGCGUCCGUGUGAAGCUCCUUCGACGAGUCGAGUUGUUUGGGAAUGCAGCUCUAAAUGGGUGGUAAAUUUCAUCUAAAGCUAAAUACUGGCCGGAGACCGAUAGCGCACAAGUAGAGUGAUCGAAAGAUGAAAAGCACUUUGAAAAGAGAGUUAAACAGCACGUGAAAUUGUUGAAAGGGAAGCGUUUGCGACCAGACUCGCCCGCGGGGUUCAGCCGGCAUUCGUGCCGGUGUACUUCCCCGUGGGCGGGCCAGCGUCGGUUUGGGCGGCCGGUCAAAGGCCCUCGGAAUGUAUCACCUCUCGGGGUGUCUUAUAGCCGAGGGUGCAAUGCGGCCUGCCUGGACCGAGGAACGCGCUUCGGCUCGGACGCUGGCGUAAUGGUCGUAAAUGACCCGUCUUGAAA